rnacentral:rRNA from 1 species
GAUGAACGCUGACAGAAUGCUUAACACAUCAGCAAUUGAUUGGUGGCGGACGGGUGAGUAACGCGUAAAGAACUUGCCUCACAGGUAGGGACAACAUUUGGUAACGAAUGCUAAUACCUAAUACUGUGAGAGAGCUUUGCGUCCCAUUAGCUAGUUGGAUAGGUAACGAAUCACCAAGGCGAUGAUGGGUAGCCGACCUGAGAGGGUGAUCGGCCACGAGGGGACUGAGACACGGCACUUACUCCUACGGGAGGCAGCAGUGGGGAAUAAUGGACAAUGGACCAAAGUCAGAUCCAGCAAUUCUGUGUGCACGAUGAAGUUUUAGGAAUGUAAAGUGCUUUCAUUUGGGAAGCGGUACCAACAGAAGAAGUGACGGCUGAAUACAUGCCAGCAGCCGCGGUAGUUC